GGGCCCGCACAAGCAGCGGAGCGUGUGGUUUAAUUCGAUGAUACACGAAGAACCUUACCAGGGUUUGACAUGCUGGUGGUAGGGAUCCGAAAGGUGACCGACCCUCGGGGAGCCAGCACAGGUGCUGCAUGGCUGUCGUCAGCUCGUGUCGUGAGAUGUUCGGUUAAGUCCGCUAACGAGCGCAACCCUUGCUGUGUGUUACAUGUGUCACACGGGACUGCCGGUCUUAAACCGGAGGAAGGUGGGAUGACGUCAAGUCAGCACGGCCUUUAUAUCCUGGGCUACACACACGCUACAAUGGCCGGUACAAUAGGUUGCUAAGCCGCGAGGCGGAGCCAAUCCUCAAAGCCGGCCUCAGUUCAGAUUGCAGGCUGCAACCCGCCUGCAUGAAGAUAGAGUUGCUAGUAACCGCAGGUCAGCUAUACUGCGGUGAAUACGUUCCCGGGGCUU
rnacentral:rRNA from 1 species